rnacentral:misc_RNA from 1 species
GAUGAAGAACGCAGUGAAAUGCGAUACUUGGUGUGAAUUGCAGAAUCCCGUGAACCAUCGAGUCUUUGAACGCAAGUUGCGCCCGAGGCCUCCUGGUCGAGGGCACGUCUGCCUGGGUGUCACGCAUCGUCGCCCCCGCUCCCCUCGGCUCACGAGGGCGGGGGCGGAUACUGGUCUCCCGCGCGCUCCCGCUCGUGGCUGGCCCAAAAUCGAGUCCCCGGCGACGGUCGCCACGACGAGCGGUGGUUGAGAGACCCUCGGACACUGUCGUGCGCGCGCCCGUCGCCCCCGGGAUCUCCUGGACCCUCGGGCAUCGACCUUUCUAGGAUGCUCUCGUUGCGACCCCAGGUCAGGCGGGACUACCCGCUGAGUUUAAGCACAUCAAUAAGCGGAGGA